CGUGAARGCGCAAGCCGAGUAAAGCGGCGAAGGGUGAGUAACACGUAACCAAUCUACCCAUGAGACUGGAAUAACCACUGGAAACGGUGGGUAAUGCCAGAUGGUCCAUCUUGGAGGCAUUUCCGAGCUGGUAAACGGUGGCGCAAGCUGCUGCUCUAGGAGGAGGUUGCGGGCUAUCAGCUAGUUGGUGGGGUAAUGGCUCACCAAGGCGAUGACGGCUACCGGGUCUGAGAGGACGGUCCGGCACACUGGGACUGAGACACUGCCCAGACUCCUACGGGAGGCUGCAGUCGAGAAUCUUCCGCAAUGGGCGAAAGCCUGACGGAGCGACACCGCGUGCAGGAUGAAGGCCUUCGGGUUGUAAACUGCUGUCAGGUUCUAGGAACCACUUGGCGUAAAUAACGCCAAGCUUGACUAAGACCAAAGGAAGCAACGGCUAACUCUGUGCCAGCAGCCGUGGUAAGACAGAGGUUGCAAACGUUGUUCGGAGUUACUGGGCAUAAAGCGCACGUAGGCGGUCCGUUAAGUCAUGUGUGAAAUCCCCCGGCUCAACCGGGGAAUUGCGCCUGAUACUGGCGGGCUAGAGGUCGAUAGGGGUGAGCGGACUCCAGGUGGASCGGUGAAUGCGUAGAUAUCUGGAGGACACC
rnacentral:rRNA from 1 species